rnacentral:lncRNA from 1 species
CAGAUCACAGGAUAGCAGUGGCACACAAGCCCGACGACGCCGCGCCAGUAGAGCGUCUAGUACUCGUCACCCUCGUCGCCGUCCUCACCCUCGUCAAACUCAGCACCGACCUCCUCGUAGUCCUUCUCAAGCGCCGCCAGAUCCUCACGAGCCUCGGAGAACUCGCCCUCCUCCAUACCCUCACCGACGUACCAGUGCACGAAGGCGCGCUUGGCGUACAUGAGGUCGAACUUGUGGUCAAUGCGGGAGAAGACCUCCACAACACUGGUGGAGUUGGAGAUCAUACACACGGCACGCUGCACCUUGGCCAGAUCACCGCCUGGGACGACGCUGGGAGGCUGGUAGUUGAUUCCGCACUUGAAGCCAGUCGGGCACCAGUCCACGAACUGGAUGGUGCGCUUGGUCUUGAUUGUGGCCACAGCAGCGUUCACGUCCUUGGGAACCACAUCACCACGGUACAUGAGGCAGCAUGCCAUGUACUUGCCAUGGCGGGGGUCGCACUUGGCCAUCAUGGAGGAUGGCUCGAAGGCGCUGUUGGUGAUUUCAGCCACGGACAGCUGCUCGUGGUAGGCCUUCUCAGCAGAAAUGACUGGAGCGUAGGACGAAAGCAUGAAGUGGAUCCUCGGGUAGGGCACCAGGUUGGUCUGGAACUCGUUCACAUCAACGUUCAGAGCACCAUCGAACCUCAGGGAAGCCGUCAGGGAUGAGAUGACCUGAACAACAUCAGUAAGAGCCAAUGGUUAGACAAAAGCCAAGAAUACAAAUCAGACUGAAUCCAAAGCCAGUACAGUACACAGAGACAGUACCUGGGAGACAAGCCUGUUGAGGUUGGUGUAGGUUGGGCGCUCAAUGUCAAGGGAGCGGCGGCAGAUGUCAUAGAUGGCCUCAUUGUCGAGCAGGACAGCAACAUCAGUGUGCUCGAGGAGAGAGUGGGUGGACAGGACACUGUUGUAUGGCUCAACCACGGAUGUGGACACCUGGGGGGAUGGGUACACGGUGAAACCGAGCUUGGACUUCUUGCCAUAGUCAACAGACAGGCGCUCCAGGAGGAGAGAACCAAGCCCAGAGCCCGUUCCUCCACCAACAGCGUUGAAGACGAGGAAGCCCUGGAGACCAGUGCAAUUAUCUGCAAGCUUCCUGAUGCGGUCAAGGCACAGGUCAACAAUCUCCUUGCCAACUGCAAGACAAGCAAAUCAAGUUUAAGUAUGGUUUUCAUUACAGAUUGAAUAUCUGGGAUCAAUGCCAACUUAAGAUCCGAUCAGAUUACUUACUGGUGUAGUGACCACGAGCGAAGUUGUUGGCUGCAUCCUCCUUGCCACUGAUGAGCUGCUCAGGAUGGAAGAGCUGGCGGUAGGUGCCAGUCCUCACCUCAUCGAUGACAGUGGGCUCAAGGUCAACAAAAACAGCACGGGGGACGUGCUUCCCAGCGCCAGUCUCACUGAAGAAGGUGUUGAAAGCAUCAUCACCUCCC